ensembl:misc_RNA Metazoa_SRP Metazoan signal recognition particle RNA
GCCGGGCGCGGUGGCGGGCGCCUGUAGUCCCAGCUACUCGGAGGCUGAGGCAGGAGAAUGGCUUGAACCCGGGAGGCGGAGCUUGCAGUGAGCCGAGAUCGCGCCACUGCACUCCAGCCUGGGUGACACAGCGAGACUCCGUCUCAA